rnacentral:rRNA from 1 species
AGUCAGUCAGGAGUGAAAGGCUACGGCUCAACCGUAGUACUUGAAACUGGGAGACUUGAGUGCAGGAGAGGAGAGUGGAAUUCCUAGUGUAGCGGUGAAAUGCGUAGAGAUUAGGAAGAACACCAGUGGCGAAGGCGACUCUCUGGACUGUAACUGACGCUGAGGCUCGAAAGCGUGGGGAGCAAACAGGAUUAGAUACCCUAGUAGUCCACGCUGUAAACGAUGAGUACUAGGUGUCGGGGGUUACCCCC